ACUUCUGAGUAGUAUAGGGAAAGUAGAUUUCCGAGUAUUAUAACGGGUAAGGGAGUUGAUUCACCUUCCCUAAAUUUUGUGUUUGGUGAAGUAAUUUGUGUUGGAAGAUCUUUUUGACCAAAUGACCAAUUGAAGCUUGAUGUAACUUGUAAGACUAAAAUGCAUAGGCCAUGAAUUAUCAAAUGAGCAUCCUCAAAAACGUCUUCUAUGUUACCUCAACACGCUAUUGUAAUCUGACACUUCAAAACAACACAACACCCAAAUCCUUUGACACUUCACUUUCGUUUGUAUUCGUUUUUUUAGUUUUACUCACCUUUACUUUAUAAAUUUACAAUAACUUUUUAUUCAUUUUAUAUCUACAAACCCACUGACCACUUUGCGACCCAAGUAUAUUAGAUAAAGCUCAUAUUCUAUCAAUUUAUUCUUUAAACCAAAAGUAGCCAUGUACAUGGUCUCCAUAUUCACUUUUCAUUGGUUUCUAUUGGUAUAACAAUUGAGUAGAACUCAAGAAAACGAAGAGAGUAUGAAAUUUUAUUUUAAGUGUUGAUGAUAUAACGCGGUGUUGGAACACGAUACGUCGAUACCCAAUCCGAGUCUGAGCAACAUAGCAGGUCUACUUCCACAUUUCCAUUUGUGAGAGUAUAAUUGUAGAGUGUAAACUCCGUGUACAAGAAAAGUAGAGCAGCCCCCCAUCAAAUAAAAAAUAAAAUGAAAAACACCCCAUCUAAGGCAUAUUAACAAGACACCAAGAAGGGGCAGUCGUCGUUGUUUGUAUUAAAAUAAGAAAGCAGUCGUACGUCAUUAGUUGGUCUGAAUUCCAAAAUAAUUAGAUAUCUAAAAAUAGCAACCUAGGAAAUGCCACACGUCGGUGAUCUAUUAGCUAGACAACCCUUUUACUUCUAGUAGCCAAUGACAUGAAAUAGAAAUUGAUUCUUAUAGGUGAUUGAGCACAAACCCCCAAAAAUAAGUGUUUUUUGUCCCCCUUUUAAUUUCCAUUUACGUAUAAAAACUAAAUACUUUCCUUUUAUGGUUACUAACCACGAUUUGAAAUCAAAAUCAAGCACAAAGGAAAGGGAAAUCAAUUUCCAGAUUAUUGCAAACCUCAGCAAGUACUAUAUACCACAACCAACUUGUAUUUCUUCUUUCUUCUUUUGGCUGCCUUUUUACAAGUGGAUUUUCGAGCAAUUGGUCAACAAUAUGGGAAGAGGGAAGAUUGUAAUUAGAAGGAUCGACAACACAACAAGCAGGCAAGUAACAUUUUCGAAGCGAAGGAAAGGAUUGUUGAAGAAGUCAGAGGAAUUGGGCGUUCUUUGUGAUGCUGAAGUUGGGGUCAUAAUUUUUUCGAGUACAGGGAAGCUCUAUGAAUAUGCUAGCAACAGCAUGACAUCCAUAAUUGACCGCUAUAAUAAGGCAAAAGAGGAAGAAAAUCAACUGGUGAAUCCAAAUUGUGAGCUAAAGUUCUGGCAAAAGGAAGUGGCAAUGCUAAGGCAGCAACUGCAGAUCUUACAAGAAAGCCACCGGCAAAUUAUGGGGGAAGAGCUCUCUGGUCUGACAAUCAAAGAUCUACAGAAUCUUGAAAACCAACUCGAAAUGAGUUUACGAGGAGUCCGUAACAAAAAGGAUCAACUGUUGAUAAACGACAUACAAGAACUAAAUCAAAAGAGGGAGCUCAUUCGCCAAGAAAAUGUGGAGCUAUACAAAAAAGCAAAUACUAUUCGUCAAGAAAAUAUAGAGCUGUACAGAAAGGUAUAUGGAAAUGGAGAUACAAGUGGAGCCAAUGGUGCCAUGCUUAUUGAUGGUGAAGACAUGGAAGAGGAUUCAAACGGACCUGUCCAUCUACAGCUUAGUCAACCACAGCAGCAAACCCAUGCAUCACCAGGGGCUAUAAAGUUGGGCAGACUACAACUGUACUAGACAAGAUGGCUUAGUUGGAAAUACAUUUAUCCUGGUCACAAUUCCCAAGGUACAAGUUCUAUCGGCUCAAACGUGAACUAAACAGACUAUGGAUGAAGAUAGACACAAACUGGUCCUGAAAUUAAAUAAGAAACUGCAAGAAGAAAUUCAUUGUUGCAUAAGAGGGUUGAAGAUUUGGAAUAUCAAGAUAAAGUUCGAUUUCAUAUUCCCAAUACCAAAUGUAAGGACCCCUGAGACUUAUGAUGCUUAAACAUCAAAUUAUGUUUAUGGUUUGUUGUUAGUGGAUUAGAAAAAGAUAGUUAUUGAUGUUACGAAAUUAUUAAUAUGUAGAGAUGAUUGUUGUUGCACAUGUCUCAUGGCUUAUUAUUAAUGAUAUUUUUCAUAUUUUAUAGUUUAACAAUAUUUAAAAAGAACUUCCAUUUAAAAGCCUAAAUUGCAAUAUCAACUAUCUAAAAAGCUACCAAAAUUGCAAUUGUUAAAAUUUAUGACCUGCUACAAGUAUAAUCUUUAAUAGCAAUUUAUAAAACCCAACGUAGCACUCAAAGAUGAAAAACAAUGAAUACAUUCAUAACAUAAUUUAUCAAAUAAAAUUUUAGUACACUAUAGAUAAAAGUGUAGUGACUUUAAAAUCAAAGAACUACAAGCCCCAUACCACCAUUGUAAACUUCAAAAUUUGACCAUUGCAUGAAUAUAGAUGAUAGAGGUGUACUUUAUUCGGUGAUUGUCUAGACGUUAAACCAUAGAAUUUAAUCACCUUAUGGGACAAAUAAUGAACUAUUACAAAGAGAAGAAAAAAAAAAAAAAAUUGCACAAUUGUUACUAAUUUAGAGAAAGUGUAUGUACUUUAAGAAAAAACGGUAAAAAGGGGUAUACCAAAUGAAAACAACAAAUGUCGAGACAUGAGGUAUGGUGGAGCAUAGAGGAUUCCAACAUUAUAACUGGAUUGGAUUGUGUCAUUCUACUCUAAGUCUUUUCCUCUUUGUACUAGUUUUAGGAGUUAAAGAGGUCCAUUGAUUAGAUAAUUUGGUACUCCCUCCGUCCAUUGUUAUUCUUUCAUUUAGUAUCAUGCAUGUUUUGUUUGUUUUAAAAUAAUCUCAUAAGUAACCUUAAAACGGUACUUUAGUUUUGGUAAAUGAAACAAAAAAAACAAAAAAAAAAAAAAAAAAAAAAAAAAAAAACUUCUAUCCAUGGUAACUCAUUUGUUGAUUAAUAUAAUUCUUAAGGUUUAAUACCUAAAUAUAUCUUUAUUUGUCGACCACAAUUAGCAUUUCUAUGGUUAAACCCUCUCCUUCCCUAUCUUCCUUCUCUCUCCUCAUCCACCACCCCUAUGUCAACCGCUUCCUUUUCAACUACAUCUCUUUGACGCAUAACACGUCUCCAUCUUCCUUCCUCAAACUCAACCAUUUACAGUCAUUCACCCAUUUCUAAUAGUUCCCACAUGUUCUCUCCUCUCUUCAUUCUCCAUCUCCAACUUCCCUCCCCAAACCCCAUUUAAAUUCACCCUAACACCUGAUCUUCUCCUUCAAAAUUCUCUAGGGUUUAGUUAUGCACAAUUUGUCAUUGCAUCAACACUCACUGUUUUGACGUUGUCAAGGAUGUUUCUAAGUUAUUGCCUCUAGUUCAAAGAGUUGUUGCCAACGUGCUCUUACCUUGUUGUGCUUGUUAAUGUAGUGUUGCUUCAAAUAACAAGGAUCUUUUUAAAACGAUAACGAAUUUUUUUGAGAUUGUGAUUGUUCAUACGGUUUAAUUUGUUUUACUCUCUUAUUUAAUUUAGUAGUUAGUGAGCAAGAAUUCUAGAUUGAUAAUGGUUUUCUUGGUGGUAGUUUUUUUUUGGCAAGAUUUAUGUAUACCUACUAGAGUGAUGGCUAAAAAAAAGAAAUGGAGGUUGGGCAAUCAAUCGUUGAUUUGCAAGGCAGAAGAGGAAAGGAAAUAAAAUAAGAAGGCAAAAGAGAAAGGAAGGAGAUAGAGGAGGCAUAUGGAGCUAAAAAAGACGAUGGUGGCCGAAUUGUGAGCAUAGCCAGGCGAAGGUGUCCAACUUUUAGUGGAGGAUAUGGAGAUAAAAGAGAGGAGGGAGUAAGGGGGUGUCAUAAGGAAAUUUAAGCGAUUCUAUGAUUGUGCUAUUAACCAUCAUGAGAAAAUAAAAAAACUAAUUUUGUUUCUUACUAUUUGUAACAAAAGGUUAUUAAUUUGUAAGACAAAGAUAUUCCUUUGUAGCAAAUAAUAAGAAACGAAGGUAGUAUUUUAAGGUUUUAUACUUCCAUAAUGUCAUGAGGGGUAUUAAUCAAGAAUAAAAGGUUACCUUAAAUACGAAGUAUUUCUUUCGUUUACUAAAUAGAAAUAAAUAGAAAUUGCAAUUUCACAUGGUUACCAAUUAAAAUUUCCCAUUAUUUUACCAAAGAUUGUUUUAUGUUAAUUUAUGGUGAAUUUACAUAAAUAACAAAGACUACAAACAUAAGUUACUUUAGGAAUUUGAAACCCUUACAAAGCACAUCCAAGUCCCAAAAAUAGCCACAUUUAAGCUACUUUUAAGAGCUUUAUUUUCCAUUCUUUGAACACUCUAAGCUACAUUUACGAUAACAUAUUUCGCAUAGUUGAAAAAAAUACCAAUUUACGUGCAAUCAUACACCAUGCCUAUUGAUCAAAUGGAGGAAACAUAGGCAUGGUAAUUCACUAAUAAUAAUCGAAGCUUUUGAUCUAUUUUAAUAAUCCAACCUUUAAAGGUAAUUCACUUUUAUUGAUCCCAUGUGAUUGGUAACAAAAAAAAAAAAAAAAAAAAAAGGUAAUUUUGGUUUUGUUUUUUUUUUUUUGAGAGGUUUAGGUGAAGACAAGAGUUAGGGAGGAGAAGAUAGAAAUCGAUGUGAGAAGGUACAAAGGGAAUGAUGGGAAGGGAAGAAUAGGGGAUGGUAGCCUAAUAGGUGCCAUGAAAAGGGAAGGAGGAGAGAGAGAAGGGUAAGGGAGGAAAGAGAAAGAAUUCUUUUCAAAAUAAUUAAUUAACAUAAAAAAAAAUUUAGACUAAUUAAAGAGCGACAUGUGACAUGCUUAACCCAUCAAACCGAUUACCAACCGUUGAGGCGUAAGCAAAUUACCCCCUUUGUUAGAGAAUAUUCAGAACAUAUUCCCAAAGAAAAAAUGUUGAAUUGCUAGAAUAAUUUUUUCUUUUCGAAAAUACUUUAACUUCGUCGAGGAUCUACAACCCCCACUUAAUGCACAAUAAUUAAUGAAUAAGUAAUAUAGUAAUUUUUUAUUGAUAGGUCCUACUUUACAAUUACUUCAAUUAUAUAAGAGCCUCGGAAAAUGCAACAAAGUUAUUAAAUGACUAAAAAAAUUUGAACAAAACCAAGAUUUCAAUAGAUAUAAGAUUAGUGAUAGACACGUAGAAAAAAAAAACACAUAAAAUUGAAAUAUUAUGUAUAUUAUAAAAGAAAAUGCAAACAAUAAAGUGAAACACUUGAACAAAACACAUAAAAACAAUAAAGAGAGUAUUUGUGACAUGCCCGGAAAAUUGUGUUUGGUUGACAAAAAUAGCGCCAAAUUAAUGCUCAACAACAAUGAAGAAAAAAUUCAUAUAAUUUAGGCUAAUUUAGGAUAGUAAUACAUGAAGUGUCAUUUUACUAUUUUAGAAUUUAAAGGAGGCUAAACAUUAAGUACUUCAUUUUUCCAUUUGUUGCUCAAAUGAUACCUCUUGAUGAUAGGGUGAACGAACUUAAGACUCGGGAGGAGGAGAUGUAUUAGAGACAACAAAAUAGACAAAACUAAAAAUGGUGACAAAGAUAUUUCAUUUUUCCAUGUAAAGGCAAACCAAAGGAGGGCUCGAAAUCACAUUAAACCUAUUAAAGAUGAUGAGACAUGGUACAAAAAUGAGGUUUCGAUCAAGAUUGCGGAAAUGGUUGCUAUGAUUCAGUUACGGAAUAAAUGCAUUGAUCAUGGAUUGUGUCGCAAUUUGUCGCACAUGAAUUUAAAUUAUAUUUAAGUUUUAAACUAUAUGUUUUACGAUGAUUUUUAUCAUAAAUAUUGGAAAUCUUAUAUUCUUAUACAAGUAUAUUGUGUAUUCCUAUACCUCUCUUUAUAUUUUAGAAUUAAAAUCCUUAAAGUGUGUGGGAGGCCUAGGGUAGUAAAUUAGUACUCCUUUAUGAAUAAGGGAAAGAGAAGGGUGGGGCAUGGGGUUACGUGGGAUGUGAGAAGGGAAAAAAAGUAAAGGGAAAGAGAAGGGGUGGCAAGUAAAAUUUUCAAAAGAGAAUAAAAAGGGAUGUCUAAUAACCAGUACCCAACUCUAUCCUAUUUUAAUUUUUAAAACAAAAAAAAGCUUUUUUUUUAUUCGGCUAGAGAAUCUGCUAGACUUUUAUGGAGAAUUCGCAACCCCUCACCGGAAAAGUGUACAGAGAGCUUAAACCUUGGUGUUUUUACUAAGGAUAUUUGCUGGUAAUGUUUGAUGCGACCAAGUUUCAGUUCAAAACAGUCGUACCGAUCAAAAUCGCGGGGUAUUAUAAAGCAGUGUGUUGAACCGUAUAUAUCAAAACGGCAACUUGCAAAUCUGCUACGUCUGAACUGAUUCGCAAUGAAAACGACCAAUUUUCGAACAAGGGGCUGGGAAUAGUUAUAUGGAGGAAGAGCAAAUUACGAAGGUUUUUGUUAAAAAAAAAUUUGAGGAUCUUUUUGCAACGAGCAGACGGAGGUGGAGAAGAUAACCGCGGCAAUAUCAAUCGAGCAAUUCAAUAAGAUGGUUGCCCCUUUCAAUGGAGAAGAGGUGAAAAAAGCGUUGUUCCAAAUGUGUUCGACAAAAGCUCAAACGUUAUGUCUGGCAUUUUCUUCCAAAAAUUUUGAGGAGUUAUAGGUAAAGAUGUGAUUGACAAAGUUAUAAACAUCUUAGAUAAUGAGGAUAAAGGUCAUUUAAAUCAAAAUCAUAUUAAUUCAAUUCCAAAAAAGAAAUUGCGUGUCUCUUUUAAUUUUAGACCAAUUAAAUUGCGAAAUGUUUUGUAUAAAUUGUGUCAAAAGUCUUGGCAAACAAGUUAAGAGAAUCUCAGAGUUAAAAUACUCUCCAUUAUUGCCCGACGAAUAACUGAUAAUAUUCUAGUUACUUAUAGAUAUUUUCAUCAUAUCAGAAUGAAGAAAAGAGGGAAGAAAUGUGUCCUAGGCUUGAUACUUGACGUGAGUAAAGCUUACGAUAGAGUGGAAUGAGAUUUUUUUAAACAAAUGAGGUGUGUUAGCUCUACUUCUUUUGAUGUGUUAGGUGAAUGGGCAAGCCUCAAAAACUUUCAAACCAAGUAGACAGCUCCAGCAAGGGGAUCCUUUGUCUCAUUUUUUAUUCAUCAAUCAUGUGUGCAGAAGGGUUAUCUACUAACAGCGCCAAGAGGAGAAAAAUCAUCAUGGGGUUAAAAAUUAGGACUGCUAGUCUUUUUUUUUUUUUGGAUGACAGUCCUUUUUCUGUGCGUGCUAAUGAGGAAACUGAGAGUAUUUUUCAACCUAUGAAGUCGCUUCGGUAUGGAUAAAUCAGAAGUAUCUUUUAACCAAACAUAUUUCAGGAAAAGGGAAAUAUGCUGCAGAUGAAAUUAUCUUUUAAAGUUGUUGAUGGACAUGAUAAAUAUCUACAACCUACAUUAGCAGCACCGAGAAAUAGGUUUUCCAAUCUAUUCAGAAAACACUAAGGGGUGGAAAGAAAAUUUUCUUUCUCAAGUCAGGAUGUGAAAUUCUCAUUAAACCGUUGGCUUAAGCCAUCCCACUUAUGUUAUGCAACUCCAUUCCACUGAGUAUUCUUAAUGAGGUUGAAAGACGAAAACAAUUUUUGGGGGUCCACAAAGGAUGAAUGGAAGAUUUGUUGGGUUGCAUGGGAUAAGCUUAGUCUUUAAUAAGGCCUUGUUGGCCAAAACAAGGGUGGAGAAUAUUAACAUAAGAGCGGUUUUUAACGACGAGGGUUCUCAAAGGGACAUAUUUCAACUCUUCUACGUUGUUGGAAGCAAAUAAAUGUCCCAAAUAUGAGCGAGCUACACUUGGAGAUCACUCUUGAAUAGCCGGGAUGUAAUCAAGAAGGGUGCAACGAAGCAUAUAGGGAAUGGUAUGAAUAUAAAUAUUUGGGAUGAUCAAAGGGUGUCUAAACUCCCUAAUUUUCGGGGUUUCUCUACAAACGGAGGUGGGAAGGAUUUUCCGACUUUGUCAAUGAGUUGUGGGAAGGAAGGAGGUGGAAGUGCAGUACCUUAAUGGAGUUGUUUACGCCAAUACAAGUAGCAAAUAUUAGUUGUAUCCCUCUUCCAAGUUUUGGCAACUUUCAAAGGAAGAAAAUUACACCAUCAAAGAGUGUCUAUAAUAUGCUUCUAUCAGAUUAUGCAAAGACAACUAAAUCAAACUUUAGUUCUGUUUAGGGGUGAGCAUUACCGGGUAGUAAAACUAAAGACUCGCCCCGGAACUGGUUAGUAUCGGGAACAAGAUUUUGGAACCGGAUCCGGAACCAGUUAAUAUUGGGUCCAUAAUUUUCAGAUCCGGAAGUGGUAGGAACCAGCUCCAGAACCAGGUACCCGGUUGGCUUAUACAAAGUAAGAAAAUCAACGACGUCCCUCUAACAAAA